rnacentral:tRNA from 1 species
CGGAGCAUAGCACAGCCUGGUAGUGCGCUCGGUUCGGGACUGAGAGGCCGGAGGUUCGAAUCCUCUUGCUCCGA